GAAUCGAAUCUGAACAAAGGGAGUUCGGGGCGUGGUGGGUUACAGACAACGUGGGUUUGGGUCGUGGUAUUGUGACGGACAUGCGUUUUUUGGGUAUUUGGCCGUCAGGUUGCUAGGGUGUUGAACGACAGACGGCGAACGGUUUUAGGGACGACAAACUGAUGAGUUUUAUGGGGUUUUGUGGGGUUGGAAUGGCAGAUCUGAAAGCGUGGGUUUCGAGUUGGGGACAUGAGUUGAAGGGUUUGCAGCGGACAUGGAAGGAGAAAGGGGCAGCGACGGUGGCUGUGGGAGAAAGGUGGAUGCGGCGGCGACGGUGACUGUGGAGAAAAAGGGGCAGCGGCGGGUCUAAGGUUGGAGGGAGCGACGGCUGAUGCGUGAAGCUUCGACAGGCGUGCGUGGGUUUCUGUAUUGCAAGAGACAUGAUUUUCAGAUGAGGAGCGGGGGUUGGGGACAAGUUUUUUGUUUUUUAAGUGGAGCCAAAGGUGGAAGUGAGAGAUUUACACUUGAGUAUGUCUCCGUCUAUGGCUAGUUAUUGACGAAGGUAGAGAUCGAACAAAGCGGCUAAAAUCUAAAGCUCUGAUACCAUGUUAGAUUCGUAUGAA